GCCCGAGGCGGCCGCGCGCGGGGCGGACAGCGCCGCCACCCGGUUGGCGCCAAGACUCGCGGCGCACAGCGCCUCUGGGAGCCCUGGACCCGAAGGGCGAGCGGAGGAGGGGCCCCUGUGGCGGGAAGCGGACCGGGUCCCGGAGGCCCUCGUGAGGGAGCGCAGGCAGGGCGGACCGAGCCGUACGUUACGCCGCGAAGAGGAGUUCAAGACUCUUCGGGGUCAUCCUGAAGAGACGGGGGCGGAGCUGCUUGCAAGACGGUUAAUUACUCGAUGAAAAUGAACUGAUUUCCUCCCCAGGGACAGAAGAGCUGCAAACUGAGGAAAAAGUUUUACCACAUGGCACAACGUGAGCUGCUCGUUCCUGUUCAGACAACCACCGGGGUUUUUGCCUUCUCCUCUUUGGAUUUCUAAAAUCGAUAUUUUGAAAGCUGCAAAAUAUGAAGGUAGCUUUUUUUUUUUUUUUUUUUUUUUUGAGUCCAGUAGUUCUCCAAGAAGGGCCUGAAACGUAGGUUCCUGGGCUCCACUCCCAAACCUAGAGAAUGAAGAUCUCUGAAGGACACCCAGAAGGAAGCAUGUUUACAAAGUAGCUGGAUGAAUAUGGAAAUAAUAUUUUUUUGAGGUUUUAAAUACACCCGGAACAACUUUUCCUUUCAUCCAUAGGAAAACCCAAUGCACCGGGUUUCAGCAGUUUAAUAUUAAAAAAAAAAAAAAAAGAAGAAGAAGAAGAAGAAGCAAAUGAAUCUCAGUUGCACAUGUAUGGGAAGA